UGAAUACGAGACGCUACGGCGUCGAAGCAGUCUAUGUCAUACUUCCAAGAAAAGCUCGCAAUGUCAUAAACAAAUAAUGCCUGUACCAUAACCGACACAGGUGGGUAGGUAGAGUAUACUAAGGGGCGCGAGAUAACUCUCUCUAAGGAACUCGGCAAAAUGACUCCGUAACUUCGGGAGAAGGAGUGCCUUAUUUAUAAGGUUGCAAUAACAAGAUCCAAGCAACUGUUUAUCAAAAACACAGGUCUCCGCUAAGUCGUAAGACGAUGUAUGGGGGCUGACGCCUGCCCAGUGCCAGAAGGUUAAAGAAGUUGGUUAGCAUUCGCGAAGCUGAUAACUGAAGCCCUGGUGAACGGCGGCCGUAACGAUAACGGUCCUAAGGUAGCGAAAUUCCUUGUCGGGUAAGUUCCGACCCGCACGAAAGGCGUAAUGAUUUGGAUACUGUCUCGGAGAGGGGCUCGGUGAAAUAGACUUGUCUGUGAAGAUGCGGACUACCUGCACCUGGACAGAAAGACCCUAUGAAGCUUUACUGUAACUUGAAAUUGAAAUUGGACUUUAUUUGCGCAGCAUAGGUGGGAGGCGUUGAGAGUAUUCUUGCGGGAAUAUUGGAGCCAUCAGUGAGAUACCACUCUUGUAAUGUUAGAUUUCUAACUUUGGAUCAUUAUCUGGUCAAAGAACGGUUUCAGGCGGGCAGUUUGACUGGGGCGGUCGCCUCCCAAAUGGUAACGGAGGCGUACAAAGGUUUCCUCUGAACGGGUAGAAAUCGUAUCUAGAGUGUAAAGGCAUAAGGAAGCUUGACUGUGAGACCUACAAGUCGAGCAGGGACGAAAGUCGGUCUUAGUGAUCUGACGGUGCUGAGUGGAAAGGCCGUCACUCAACGGAUAAAAGUUACUCUAGGAUAACAGGCUGAUCUCCCCCAAGAGUUCACAUCGACGGGGAGGUUUGGCACCUCGAUGUCGGCUCAUCGCAUCCUGGGGCGGUAGUACGUCCCAAGGGUUGGGCUGUUCGCCCAUGAAAGCGGUACGCGAGCUGGGUUCAGAACGUCGUGAGACAGUUCGGUCCAUAUCCGGUGUAGGCGUUAGAAUAUUGAGAGGAGCCUUCUUUAGUACGAGAGGACCGAGAAGGACAUACCUCUGGUGUACCAGUUAUCGUGCCAACGGUAAACGCUGGGUAGCUAUGUAUGGAGAGGAUAACCGCUGAAAGCAUCUAAGUGGGAAGCCCACCUCAAGAUAAG
rnacentral:rRNA from 1 species